rnacentral:lncRNA from 1 species
UUACAGGCUAACCAGGAGAGGCCUUCCCUUCACACCACCUUAAUGUAAAACCAAGACCUGUUUUCCAUUUUCGCAGCUGCCUGGUCUUCAAAAUAGUAAGUUGCGGAUGCAGAUCCGUCUCUACGACACACACAGAUUUAAUUACAGCCCAUUCCCCCUGGAUUGUCUUUCCCAGCGCCACCCUUGAUAUUUUCCUCUCAUCUGUUGACUUCCUUUCCUCUUCCACUGUACUUUCCCCCCACAAAUAAAAGAGGACCCCAAAGGAGGGUACGUGGAAACCAUCAA